GAAGAGGAGUCGAAGUCGCAGCCGAAGCCGUGACAGACGCAGUAAACGUAGUCGCCGGAGCAGCAGAAGCAGAAGUCGUAGCAGGGACAAGAAGAGGAGAGCAUCACGGAGUCGUUCUCGAAGCAGGUCUGAAAAAAAAUCGGUCAGCAAGUCUAAAAGUCGCUCUAAAUCCCGAAAUCGUUC